GUAUUUUCAGACUACCUUCUGUUACUUACCAAUAUAUACUAAGAGGUCUUCCAUGUCUUUUUUUGUGGUUUAGUAGCGAAUUUCUUUUUAUCACCAGAUAAUAUUCCAUUUAUGGAUAUUCCACAUUUUAAAUCUGUUUGUCCUUUGAAAGUCAUUUUGGUUGCUUACAAUUUUGGACAAUUUUGAAUAAGGUUGUUACAAAUAUUUAUGUGAGGGUUAUUGUUCAACUCCUUAAGAUAAAGACUCAGGAGAGUGAUUGCAUGUUUAUAUGUUUGGCCUGUUUAACUUUAUAAGAAACUGCUAGACUAUCUUCUAAAAUAGCUGAAAACUUUUGUAUUCCCACAAGUGAAUGAAUUCCUCUUGCACCACACUCUUGCUAGCAGUGAUCUAGAUGUGUCAUGUACUUUUUAAAAAUUUUCUGUAUUUGAAGAUAUUUUGACAUUUAGUGUCCUUGUUCCUUAUAAAGAGAUUGCUCUUCCCAGUGCUAUUUAAUUUCUUUCUUUGUUUUUGUCAUUAUUUUUUUAAAAUUUAUUUUUUUAUUCUGAUUCAUCAUAUAUGACAGCAGAAUGCAUUACAAUUUAUAUUGCACACAUAGAGCACAAAUCUUCGUAUCUCUGGUUUUAUACAAAGUAUAUUCAGCACUAGUUAAUUUUUAAAAAUAGUAAAUGACUCACCUUGUGUGCCUUUCAUAUGCAAACCAAUCAAUGGAAACCCACAAUUUCUAAUUAUCUCCUUUAAGUUUUGCAGACCAAGUGAACAUCCCCUUGCUCAAAUCAAUCCAGAGCCAGGUACUGGGCAACUCAGGACAGCUCUCUCACCCUGGAGCCCACUGACAGUAUUCAAACUAGCCAUCUUAAACCUAUUUACCUCACCUCACCCAUGUCUUCCUAUGAUAACCACAAUAAAGUUUUUUUUGCACACACAUUCCCCUUGCUCUGCCUGUCCUUUGACUGAUACUGGUGUUCCCUCAAGUGACUGUGUGAGGCAUGUCACGUGCCUGCUGUUUCUAGGGAUCUGUGAGCAUAAAAAUGUCUUUCUUUAUGACAAUCAUUUUCUCGUCUGCAUGUCCUAACAUAUCUGAUUAAAACAAAUCCUUGUACAUUUAAAAAUAUGUGUAAUGGCAUCUUAUUGUUGUUUAAUUUGCAAUUUCAUACUGAUAUAUAAUGUUGAACAUAUUUUCAUAUGCUUAUUUGCCAUCUGUAUAUCUUUGGUGAAAUGUCUGUUCAGAUCUUUU
rnacentral:lncRNA from 1 species